UUAGGAUCUAGACCUGGCAUAUCUUCAUACGACCAUGCAAAAAUAUCCGGGUAUUCUCGGAGGAGCUGGAUGAUCUUCCUUUUAACCCCUUCCUCUAGAGCAGCACCGAUCUUGAUUUCUCGCUUGUUCUCCUCGGUACCUAUGUUGAUGAGCUCAAUCUCUUCCUGG
rnacentral:pre_miRNA from 1 species